AUGGCCACUAGCAAUUUUCACGUCAAUUUGGCUAGGCUUUAGCCAUCUAGCGGUCGAUAUUGAAACGGUUUUAUUGUUUUGAGGAAGACGGACAUUCUUGUGUGAUUCCCCUCGACGAUUUCUCACCUCCGAUGACGGAAAGGAAUGCAGAAAAUGGAAGAAGGUAAAAUAUUCGUGUGACAUGAACAUACAGAAACCAGUCCGUAUCUUUCCUAUCCCGACGAUUGGAGUGGGUGAUUAUUUUUUCCCCUCUACUCGUCUCGCAACAUUCCGAAAAUGCCUGGCGCCGCCAUGACUCUUUCAGCCUCUUCGUCAUCACUGAGAAUCAAACAAAUGGAAACAUGUGUGUGUUAUUUGUGCUUGUUGUGUAGACGGCUGCUGUAGCUCAAUAAUAUCCUUUCUGUUUCUUUUUUCGUACCAGUUUGUCCUUGCGUUCGUGCAGCUGAAAAAAAAAUAAAAAAAGAAAAAAGAAAUAGAGGCCAAUAGGUGUAUUAUGCUCCUCCUAUUUCGUUUGAUUUCGUUCAUUUCUCUCCUCUCUCUCUCUCUUUCCCGGGGCCUGCACUCAAUGCCAAGCGGAUUAAGGAAUCAUCGUUCAUUUUCCCUUUUUUCUUUCUUUACUCUUUUUUUCAUUCCACUUCUACCUCUUACUUUCGUAAUGGCGAAACAUGGCCAAGCGCCGAUUUCCCACACAGCCAAAAAGGACUCGACAUGAAACCGUCACCAUACCCAGAAGAAAAAAAAUGAACUCGGCUAUAAUAUACUAUUACACAUAGCUGGGACUCCUACACACAUCGUUGGCAUUUGCUCAGCUAAAACACACACACACAGACAGCACAGAGCCCUUUAAAGAUAAAAUAGUCUGAAACUGCGUGAGUAUGGCCUUAUAUAUUUCUCUGUGCGCGUGUGUCAGCUAUAUAAGGCCAUCCUAUCGUGCAUAAGGUUUAACAGUGGGGCUCAGAAAUACGUCCAGCACUACACCGAAUAGUCUAGUACGGUCUACAGACUUACACACAUACACACACAUAUAUACAACACAGCUGAUAUGUAGCUUUUUUGGCUGGAGCUUCAUAGUUCGACUAUGUCUCUCCUCCUGCCCUCUCCUACACCCAAUUCCUGCUCGAAUGUUCGCCUAUUUCAUGUUUAUAUAGAUAUGCAGCAAUAGGGUCUAUACACCACCAGCCCUUUUGGUAAUAUUACAGACACACACAAAAGCCUUUCAUUCUACGCCCACAUUCCAAUUCACACACAGGACAUACACACACACACACCAAACGGAUAUUUGUAUACACAUACACAUAGCAAUGUUUUAAAAAGACGCUUUUCCCAUUCGAUUGCUACAAUAAAAUAAGAGGAAUGGGAAGAAAGUGUUGAUGAUACAUGAAAACCAGCCUCAGUGAAGCUCAUCAUCAUGCUUGAAAUCCCACAUCUUUCUUGGCUGGCUAGCUCUCUCGUCACUCAAGACGUUGUCCUCAUUUCGUUACACAGAAGAAAAUGCUGUAUUCAAUGACGAUGCCUCCCCCAUUCCUUCCAUGCUCAUUUAUCUACACAUAUAUCUCCUGGUUUGGUGUGUCUGUAUGAUAUUGUAUUGUUAUGUGUCUGUGUUAUUGUAUACCAAAUCCAGGCAUUCACAGCUG